rnacentral:sRNA from 1 species
UUUCCUAGUGAUGCCCUGUGCCCUAUUACCAUGCCUUUGCCCAGGCUGUUCCUUCUGCUUGCAGCAUCCUUCUCUCAGCCUCUCCCCUCUUUACCCGUUUCUAGUCAUUCCUUGCUUCUCAUCAGUGUUGCCUUUUCCUGAUCGCCCCAGGCAGAUUUUGUAUUUUCUUUCUCCAUGCCCCCACAUUGCACCUUGUAGAAACUGCCAUCUAACAUCUGCUGAAUGGACUUGUAAGUACUUAAGGGGUUCCUUUUCUUCCAGACCCAAGCUCCUUCAGAGCAACAGUACUGUUUGGUUAUCUCUGUCCCUUAGCAUAACGUUUGGCACCAAGUGGGCAUGAGUAAAAAAGUGUUGCAUGAAAGGAAAACUUAGUCCCAGGGAAGGAACUCUGGAAGGGUCCCUUCCACAUUUAAGUAAUGUGGUCUCACCCACAGUCUCAUACACGUUUGGCCUUUAGCACAUCUGCAAUGAACAGUUGUCCAUAGGGAUAGGUUGCAGUGUCAGUGGGACUAGCUUAAGGCUUCAUCGAGCACCUGUGUUUGGAAGGUAGUGAGCUGUAGGUCAUAGCUUCUGCCUUUAGGGAGUUUACCCUUUUCUAGAAUGGACGGAUGCAUAUGCAGUUCUGAUACCUUGGAAGCAUAUGCAAAUGCAGUGGGAGCAUUUAAAAGCAGAGUUGCCUUAUUGGUUUGGGGAGGGUGGUAUUUGAGUGAAACUUUAAGGAUUUUGCCAGACACAGGAAUGGGGAGGGUAUUCUGCAGGGCAUGGUGGGAACAAAGGUUUGAAGGUGGGAAAAUGAUCCAGCCUACAGCUGGAGUUUUAGCUGCAUUGAGGGGAGGGGUUGGGGCUAGAUCACAGCCUUGAAUGCCAGGCUGAGGAGUUUGCCUUCUGUCCUGUAGGCUUGGGGAGGCCCAGAAAACUUAACAGCAGGGUAGCUCUGUGGCCGGAACUGAACCUGGGUCAGGUACUUGGAAGGAUCAUGGAUGGCAUGCACAGGGUACGAGCUGGAUGGGGUCUCACAUUCAUCCACUUGUUGUCAUUCAGGACCAGGUAGCUGCCUUCUUCGUGGCUGACCUGGGUGCCAUAGUGAGGAAGCACUUUUGCUUUCUGAAGUGCCUGCCACGAGUCCGGCCCUUUUACGCUGUCAAGUGCAACAGCAGCCCAGGUGUGCUGAAGGUUCUGGCCCAGCUGGGGCUGGGCUUUAGCUGUGCCAACAAGGCAGAGAUGGAGUUGGUCCAGCAUAUUGGAGUCCCUGCCAGUAAGAUCAUCUGCGCCAACCCCUGUAAGCAAAUUGCACAGAUCAAAUAUGCUGCCAAGCAUGGGAUCCGGCUGCUGAGCUUUGACAAUGAGAUGGAGCUGGCAAAGGUGGUAAAGAGCCACCCCAGUGCCAAGGUUUGUCCAGCAGAGGGGCACUGCAUGUCUCAUCAGGAUGGUUCUGUGCAUUGCUACCGAUGACUCCCACUCCCUGAGCCGCCUGAGCCUAAAGUUUGGAGUGUCACUGAAAUCCUGCAGACACCUGCUUGAAAAUGCGAAGAAGAGCCACGUGGAGGUGGUGGGUGUGAGUUUUCACAUUGGCAGUGGCUGUCCUGACCCUCAGGCCUACGCUCAGUCCAUCGCAGAUGCCCGGCUCGUGUUUGAAAUGGGCACUGAGCUGGGUCACAAGAUGCACAUUCUGGACCUUGGUGGCGGCUUCCCUGGCACAGAAGGGACUAAAGUGAGAUUUGAAGAGAUUGCUUCCAUGAUCAACUCAGCCUUGGACCUGUACUUCCCAGAGGGCUGUGGCGUGGACAUCUUUGCUGAGCUGGGGCGCUACUACGUGACUUCGGCCUUCACUGUGGCAGUCAGCAUCACUGCCAAGAAGGAGGUUCUGCUGGACCAGCCUGGCAGGGAGGAGGAAAAUGGUUCCACCCGCAAGACCAUCGUGUACCACCUUGAUGAGGGCGUGUAUGGGAUCUUCAACUCAGUCCUGUUUGACAACAUCUGCCCUAUCCCCAUCCUGCAGAAGAAACCAUCCACGGAGCAGCCCCUGUACAGCAGCAGCCUGUGGGGCCCGGCGGUUGAUGGCUGUGACUGCGUGGCUGAGGGCCUGUGGCUGCCGCAACUACACGUAGGGGACUGGCUGGUCUUUGACAACAUGGGUGCCUACACUGUGGGCAUGGGUCCCCCCAAAGGGGGGACCCAGGCCUGCCACAUCACCUAUGCCAUGUCCCGGGUGGCCUGGGAAGCGCUGGGAAGGCAGCUGAUGGCUGCAGAACAGGAGGAUGACGUGGAGGGUGUGUGCAAGCCUCUGUCCUGCGGCUGGGAGAUCACAGACACCCUGUGCGUGGGCCCUGUCUUCACCCCGGCGAGCAUCAUGUGAGCGGGCCUCGUUCCCCCCGGAGAACCCCAGCGGGGCCUCAGAGAUGCGUCUGGGAGAGGUGGGGAAGAUGGCAGGCAAGGGUACCCUUGGCCAGGACUCUGGUACCCACCCUGCCACCCCCGCGCUCCACCUGCAGUGUUUCUGCCCUGUAAAUAGGACCAGUCUUACACUCGCUGUAGUUCAAGUAUGCGACAUAAAUCCUGUUCCUUCCAGCUGUGUCUGCCUCCUCUGCAGUGCAAGGGGCCUGGUCAGCCAGGUGUGGGGGUGUUCUUGAGGUCUCCUUUGGUCUCCUUCCCACCUUUGUAAAUAUAAUGCAAAUAAAUAAAUAUUUAGGUUUUU